GAUUAAGCAGUUCAAAUGACACUCUACGGGAAUCCUAAAAAGGCAAAGCAGGGCUGCUCACUACAGGCAGUGACACCACUGGAGACCCAGGGAUUACACAGAUCACCAUGGAUCCACCGUCAGAAAACACGGAGAAAUAUUACCUUAUGUUUUGUCAUUGCACCAACGAUGAGUGGGCACACCAUUCCCGACAGCGUCCCCACACCAUUGGAGAUGCCCAUCAGAAUGCUGGCAUAACGAGGGGCUAUGUCCAAGUGAUUCACAUUGAAGCCUACAAAAAGGAGACAAACAGCUGUACAGCAUUGCACUACCAGGCAACAGGGCUUUCUACAGACAUUCUGGCUGAAGAAGACUGAAAAGGCAUACAGUUAAACAGGAUGAAAAGGUGACUGACAGUGUAAAAGUAUAUUAGAAAAUAACAGCAUAAAGCUGACGUAAAUUGGGAUCAAUAAAGAGCAGGUUCUUUCAAAGCUCCAGAAUCCCAGAAUUGUUGAGAUUGGAAGGAGCUCCUUCUGCUGAAGCUGGAUUGCCUAGAGAAUGUUGCCCAGAAAUGUUGGCCAGACAGCUCCUGAGUAUCUCCAAGGAUGGAGAUUCCACAACCACUCUGAGGAACCUGUUCCAGUACACAGUCAUCCUCAUAGCAAAAAAGUGUUUCCUCAUGUUCAGAAGGAACGUCCCAUGUUUCAGUUCGUGCCCAGAACACUUACUGAAAAGAGCCUAUUUUCAUCUUUACACUCUCCUUUCAGAUAUUUGUACUUAUGGAUGAGAACCCUGCUGAGCCUUCUCUUUUCCAGGCUAAACAGUCCCAGCUCUCUCAGCCUUUGCUCAUAGGAGAAAUAUUUCCACUCCUUCAUGGCACUUCAUUGGACUCGCUCCACUAUAUAUCCUUGUCUUUCUUGUACUGUGGAGUCCAGCACUGGACACAGUACUUCAGGUGUGCCCUCACCAAUGCUGUGUAGAGGGGAAAGAUCACCUCCUUUUACCUGGUGGCCUUUUCAUGAUGCAGCCCAGGAUGCCAUUUGUCUUUACUGCAAGCAUACACUGCUGGCUCAUGUCCAGCCUGGUGUUCAGCAGGACCCCUAAGUCCUUUCCAGCUUUGCUGCUUUCCAGCUGGGCAGAUCCCCACAGGUACUGGUGCACUUGCUUAUUCUUCCCCAGGUGCAGGACUUUACACUUUCCCUUACUGGGCUCCAUGAGGCUCCUGUCAGCCUACUUUACCAGCCUGCCAGGGCUCCUCUGUACAGUAGCACAACCCUGCAGUGUAGCAGCUACUGCUCCUGGUUUUGUGUCAUUGCAAACCUGCUGAGCGUACACUCUGCUGCAUCAUCCAGGUCUUUAAUGAAGAUGCCAAAUAGGAUCAGACUCAGUACAACCCCUGAGACAGAGUUUAGUGAUCAGCAUGUCAUCUUCUGGAAGCUUUUCUUUGAAGCAGUAAAUUAGUGAGAAGUUUGAAUUUACUUUCUUCAGUGUGCAACCUUCUUACAUUGACAGUGGGUUUUACAUUGGUUUUAAAUUAGUGCAGUUCACAGAGAUGCAACUCUAGCAUUAAUGAAAAUCAGCUCUGAUUAAAUAGAUGGGUUUUUUUCUCAAUAGCCCUCUUUUUCAUUUCCAUGCUGCACUUGGCCAUUUAGAAUGUCAUUGCUACCAUGCCACAACCAUUGCUUCUCUUGCAGAACCUGGGCACACAGUGCUCCCAGAACAGAUAAAUAAUGAUCUUUGUUAUCAGCCUUCAACUUGCUUAAAAAUAAUUACCACAUAGCAAGUAUGGUUGCUAAAUAAAAGAGUUUUUAAAACUUUUCUAAAUUAAUUAUUCUGUAUUCCUCAUUCAUGCCCUGAAGAGGAAGUAUAACAAUUCUGAUUUUAAUGAAGUGAUGGUGGCACGGAAUAUAAACCUAUAAAGAACUUGAUCUUCAUUGCUAAUGACAAGUCACAAAAAUCAAGAAGAGGAUAAAAAUUACCUGAUUAAAUGCUGAAUGGUCAACAAUAAACAAAAUGUACAUUUCUAUUUACUUACUUUGCGGUUUUUCAUGAUAUGCGGGAGCUUUUAAUCAACUGUUUCUCAAAAUAACUUCUCCAUUCUCUCCUUUUUCUAAUAAUUUCAUGCUCACAUACUGUUAUUUCUAUCAGGUCAGUAGAAGUAUGUAAUCCCAAAUACUGGGAAUAAUCUACUGUAAUGAUUCCAGGUCUCUCUGGCUCUCCUUAAACAACUAAACUAUAGCACUAAGUGCCAUGCCCAGUUAUUUCUUGCACAUCUCCAGAUAUAAUAUUCACCUCCUCUCUGGGCAGACCAUUCUAAUAUUUAACCACCCUUUCAGUGAAGGAAUUCUUCCUGAUGUUCAACCUGAACCUCCCAUACUUCAUAAGGUCACUGCUUAUUCUCAAAUAUUUACCUUGCUUAUUGCAAAUCCAAAGACUUCUUCAAAGUAAGCAGGCUGACUUAUAAGGAGCAAAUAGAAGGUCCAGCUUCUGCAGAAGUUUGCCACAAUGAUUGCAUAAACUGGCAUUGAAGUGAAAAAUCUCUUCCAUGGAGUACUAAAUUUCUAGGGGAGAAAAAAACCUCACAAAAUUGGGUAGAUAGAGGCAAAAUAAAGAACCAAUAUCUUUUAUUAUCAAGCCUAUUAGAUACAUUGCAUACAAUUUACAUCGCAGAUCACUUAAAAUGCAAGAUAUCUCUUGAAUUACUGGUAAAAAUGAGAAAUUUUCUUAGAAGUUAGGAUUUUUAAGGUGGACACUGCACUGCUAUUACCCUGCUUACUGAAAUUACAAGAGGUCUUCCAGAAUCCUGCUAGUGGGAUAACAGGAUCAGUAAAGAAUCAAAGAAAACUAGAGAAAACCUUGUGCCAUUCCCAACUUUUUGGCUUGAUGCAGUUUGAGAUAUUCUAUUGAAAGGAGUGGGGGAAAAGGGUUGUCCAAGCUAAGACACAUGCAGUAGCACAGCAACAAGCAGCUACCUGCUUCAACCUAAUUAGUUUAAUUCAGAAAAAAAGACCUGUGGUACAGAAUUUAAUUUUUGUAACUUGCUUUUUUGGCAUUUUUAAUUAGUAUUAUGCUCCAAUACUCCAUACAGCAGGAAACACUUCAGAAACAUAUUGUUUUUUAAUGGAAUUCCAA